UGGGGAAUAUUGGACAAUGGGCGCAAGCCUGAUCCAGCCAUGCCGCGUGAGUGAUGAAGGCCCUAGGGUUGUAAAGCUCUUUCACCGGUGAAGAUAAUGACGGUAACCGGAGAAGAAGCCCCGGCUAACUUCGUGCCAGCAGCCGCGGUAAUACGAAGGGGGCUAGCGUUGUUCGGAUUUACUGGGCGUAAAGCGCACGUAGGCGGACUAUUAAGUCAGGGGUGAAAUCCCGGGGCUCAACCCCGGAACUGCCUUUGAUACUGGUAGUCUUGAGUUCGAGAGAGGUGAGUGGAAUUCCGUGUGUAGAGGUGAAAUUCGUAGAUAUUCGGAGGAACACCAGUGGCGAAGGCGGCUCACUGGCUCGAUACUGACGCUGAGGUGCGAAAGCGUGGGGAGCAAACAGG
rnacentral:rRNA from 1 species